rnacentral:snRNA from 1 species
AUUGCUUGUCGGCCUUUUGUCUAAGAUCAAGUGUAGUAUCUGUUUUUAUUCAUUUAACGGUAGACUACCUCAAAAAGGCAAUUACAAUUAAUUAAAAUCUUAAAAUCAUACAUGGCUGGUCUUGUGUCCAGCUGCUACUGGUAAGCACUCUGUACCCCUGUUUGUGGAGGGCCCUGUCCCUGGCAAGCCCAA